UACGUGGGGGGCAAGCGUUGUUCGGAAUUACUGGGCGUAAAGGGCUCGUAGGUGGCCAACUAAGUCAGACGUGAAAUCCCUCGGCUUAACCGGGGAACUGCGUCUGAUACUGGAUGGCUUGAGAUUGGGAGAGGGAUGCGGAAUUCCAGGUGUAGCGGUGAAAUGCGUAGAUAUCUGGAGGAACACCGGUGGCGAAGGCGGCAUCCUGGACCAACACUGACACUGAGGAGCGAGAGCCAGGGGAGCAAACGGG
rnacentral:rRNA from 1 species